UACGUAGGGACCAAGCGUUUGUUCGGAUUUACUGGGCGUAAAGCGCACGUAGGCGGACUCUUAAGUCGGUGGUGAAAUCCUGGAGCUCAACUCCAGAACUGCCUUCGAUACUGAGAGUCUCGAGUCCGGGGAGAGGUGAGUGGAACUGCGAGUGUAGAGGUGAAAUUCGUAGAUAUUCGCAAGAACACCAGUGGCGAAGGCGGCUCACUGGCCCGGUACUGACGCUGAGGUGCGAAAGCGUGGGGAGCAAACAGG
rnacentral:rRNA from 1 species